UUGGACGAGGAGAAAAUCGGGAAAACAGACACAAAAAAAAACAAAACAAACAAACCAACGAAACAAAGUAAUUAAGUCACGAAUGUCAGAUCUAUCACCACCCAGAUCAAACCGCUUUCGCUUUUCUAUCGCAUUUUGAAAUCAUCUAGGUAAUUCGCAAGUUAUCGUUUGUAGCGGGCUUUGUGUUGGCACAACGCUCGUUGGCACACUUCAGUUGUAUCCAAACAAAAGCAAGAGAUAGGAUUUCACCGUUAACGCAUAAGUUGGUCAAACCAAAGAAGGCACUGACACCGUUUAACGCAACCCGUAUAAUUGCGAUGGUGUACGCGACGUACGCGGUUUCGACUUUCUCCACCACCCAAACGAUAACGAAUCAUAUUCAAACAGCGUCAGAGGUGCGGCAAGAUAUUUACUUUCUAAGGGUAUGAAACUCAAUAGGCCGUUUUUUUAAUUGAUGCCAAACACUAGGUUAUUUUACACGUCUCGAACUUACCGAGACGCACAACUCCCUACUCUUCGAUGGGUCUGCUGAAUUCAAAAAUAAUUUCCAAACAGAAAAAAACGUGGACGCAGAAAUCUCUAAACUGCUUUCUAGUAUCAACACGAUUUAUCCGUUCUCCCGACAAAAUGUCAAAACUGAAACUCCCUCAAAAAAAUCUUAAUUUUUUUUGUCCUCGUUUCUUUCAAGCAACGGCUACUUAAAUUUCAAAUCCAUUGCUCCCCCCCCCCCUUCGUGCACAAAGGUACCGUUAGAAACAAGUGCACCUCCAUCGCCAAAGGUGUACGGGGGAAGGGGGAUAAUGGAAGGAACCGUGAAACUUUGUACGCUCCCCCCUUCUGGGCUACAGCUCCUCCUCUUGUUUUAUAUACCCUUAACAUCCUACACCGACAACCCCCCGUCGGCUCUCUUUUUUCUUCUUCCAUGCGAACCUUUUCGACGGAUUUACUGUCUAAAAUCCCCCCCCCCCUCUUUCCAUCUCUUUCUGUCUCGCAGGUAUUGUUGUUGUUAGCCAGACUUGAGUGCUAUUGUCGUUGCCUGUUUUUGUUUUCGUUACUCGUUUCUGUGUAUGUUUUUUUUUACAUGCGUAUAUAAUACACUUUUUUUUACUGUUAGAA